rnacentral:misc_RNA from 1 species
UGAGUUGUGCCGGACUUGCUCUCGAAUCGGGCUCACCGCAUAUUUGUGCGGUCAACCGUUUCGGAGCCUGUCUCUUGAGCGUCCCGCCCGAUGCACAUAUUUAGCUUGGGCGGUGUGAUGAAUGGGUUGGUGCCUGUGUUGCUACUCUUUUUGGGACAAUGUUUUUUUUGUGACAACGGCAUGUCAUGUUGCCUUCGAUUAUGAUUUUGAGAAAGUUGCGUGGGCUAUUGAAACAUCGGCUUUGUUCGGGAGCGAUUGAUUGGUCUCGACUCGUCUGCAGCUCGCUUCACAUAUUAUAUGAGCAGCUCUUUCGGAUACGGUGGCUAUGUCGGUUCUUGUGGUCCUCUUCGGUCCGCAUGCGACCUUGUAGUUCACCCGUAACAGUUCAUCGUGCGGUUGGAUCUUUUGCCAUCUUUGCGUUCCCGUUUUUGCUCUCAUGCCGGAGCAAAGGCGGGGCGUGGGGAUGCAGAUGCUGGCUUGCGGGGGCGAUGCUGUAUGUGUGGGAGUUCUAUGUUGUAUUAGUGAUUGCCGUUGCGUGUCUGCGUUUAGGUAUUCCGUCCGGGAGUGCCUCAGCAGCUCGCAGGCUCACUUUUUUGACUUGCUACCUGGUUGAUCCUGCCAGUAGUCA